rnacentral:misc_RNA from 1 species
ACAAACUUCAUGCCGAGAUAAGACAUUGGCGAGAUAAGCACAAUCCGCCAUGGAAUUUCGAAAUGAGAAGGUUUCCAGAAAACAUCGCCGAACCCCUCUAGAUCUAUCACAAUGCACCGCUUCCUUUCAAUAGUUAUUCUUGGAAUUUCUUGGAACCUGCCAGCUGUACUGGGUAACAAAACUUGUUUAUAUAUGUUUCUAAGUGUUACAGAGCAAAGGAACAUUACACUGUUGUUAUUAGUCGGAUAACGAUGCUAUAUUUUACAUCCAAGUCUGUCAACAAAGCGUCGGUAACUAACGGUCUUUCUCCUAUACGUUUACCGUUAGUUAACUCGCUAAAUUAUUGCCAUUUUCAUGAAUAGAUAUUGUUUGCCAUCCACCAGUGAUAUAUGUAAAAAGUGAUCCCAUGGGUUUUAGAAGAAUAGAAACGAAAACCAUUAUAUAAAUGUAUAAGAAAUAAGGUGACUAAGUAAAAUUUCCUUUCCGAAAAUGUGAAGGAGUCAAUCAUUCUCUCACCAGAGAACGUGCUACACAAGCCUCUAAGCGAAGCUUGUGUAGCACGACCUCUGAUGAGAGAAUGGGAGUCAAUCGGAAAAUUAUUCAUCAAAACGAGAAAAAUUCAGCGAGUUGGCCCACAGUAAGCGUGUGUGAGAUAGACCGUUGGGUUUUAACAAUGCUCACGAAAGGUGUACAACAACAAAAAAAAAAAAAAAGAAAAAGAAAAAAAACAACCCAAACCCUGAGUAAUAAGAACUCGUGGUUUCAACGAAACAUUUUUUCCUUUUUCCAAUGACCCUAAAAUGUUGUCUUUUUUUCAAUCAAGCGAUUAUUAUUUGCCAAUGACAUUUAUUAAUACUAAAUACUUGUACAUUUUUAGCAUUUACAUUGUUAUGAAUACAUUAUGCUAACACCACAUUUACAUACAUGUUGUUAGUGAAAAUGUUUUGUUUUUCCAUAUUUUAAUUUACAUGUAAUUUUGAUUGAAAAUUAAGUCAUAAUUAUUUUAUGUGACGUAUUUAUAAAAAUUACAUCUCAAUGCACUUCAUGGUAAACUCGACUGUUCGAUCUAUUCACGUGAACUGUAAAGCUUGGCCCUGCCGUUUCUCUGUUUAGGGGUGCGGUGCUUGAGAUGUGACUCUAUCACGGAGCCCCGCCUCUGUACCCAGCUGGAGACCUGCCACAAAGGAGAGGUAUGCGGCGUGGAGCAGAAGAGGUCGGAUAACGGAGACAUUUCCUAUUGGACGGGAUGUAUCUCACCAACAAGCUGCAUUUCAGAGGACUCCAAUACAAUUGUCCCGGCCAAAAGGACCGGUUACUAUGACAACGAAGUUAUCUGUCGUCACUGUUGCUCCAGUGACCUAUGCAACUCCAAGGGAUGCGGUGCGAUAGGUAUAUGUACACAAGGCAUUCUGCAGACAAACUAAACACUCCGGGACAUCCGAGCGUGAUGUCAUAGAGAGAUAAAGUGCACAUUCGAGUCUUUGAAACAGUUCUUUUUUCAACCGGCUACAUUGUAAAAAAAAAUAUACAGAAGGUUGGCGAGACAUUGACAUUUAGCUGUCAUUGGAGUUUAAUUGAAUCUUAAAAGAAACAUUUUUGACAGCGAUGUUCGGGAAUUGAUAUAUUUAAAAAAAAAUAAAAAAAAAUAAAAAUAAUAGUGUUUAUAUACGUUUUUAUUAAAAAAAAAAGAAGAGUUUAAUGUUGUUCAAUCACAGUAUCAAAGAUAACCAUUGUGUCUAGUUUCUAAAUGUCUACUAUUUCUAUGCUGUAUGCUAUAGUACUUUUGGCCUUUAUAACGCCUUUUAUUGCUGGUUCUCUUAUAUAUAGUGAAAAGUAUAAUUGUAGAUCUGACCUCUCUAGCAACCUUUUUUCAGGCUACCCGGCAGACCGUGGACCUUUGUGUUACGAGUGUAAGAACUUGGCCGAUCCGAGUACCUGUCACACUAUCGCCUUCUGUAACCACAAUGAGAAAUGCUUCGUUGGAUCAGAAGCACAUUUUGGACAACUGUACUACACAACACGUUGUGAGCCUCUCCACGCAUGCACGGCACUGGAUGUGUCCUCACCCCUAGGAAAGCGAGCCCUGCCGUGUCGUCACUGCUGUACCGGGGAUCUCUGUAACAGCAGCUGUAAAGUGUAGAACAGGACAGUUGGCGCCUGUAUUUGGUGUUACUGGCCCUUGUUGUUUGUAUCGUCACAGAAAAUGUGAAAAAUAUGAAAUUAAAUCUAGAAGUC